GACGAACGCUGGCGGCGUGCUUAACACAUGCAAGUCGAACGGUAAGGCCCUUCGGGGUACACGAGUGGCGAACGGGUGAGUAACACGUGGGUGAUCUGCCCUGCACUUCGGGAUAAGCCUGGGAAACUGGGUCUAAUACCGGAUAGGACCACUGCCUGCAUGGGUGGUGGUGGAAAGCUUUUGCGGUGUGGGAUGGGCCCGCGGCCUAUCAGCUUGUUGGUGGGGUGAUGGCCUACCAAGGCGACGACGGGUAGCCGGCCUGAGAGGGUGUCCGGCCACACUGGGACUGAGAUACGGCCCAGACUCCUACGGGAGGCAGCAGUGGGGAAUAUUGCACAAUGGGCGCAAGCCUGAUGCAGCGACGCCGCGUGAGGGAUGACGGCCUUCGGGUUGUAAACCUCUUUCAGCAUCGACGAAGCGAAAGUGACGGUAGGUGCAGAAGAAGGACCGGCCAACUACGUGCCAGCCGCCGCGGUAA
rnacentral:rRNA from 1 species